rnacentral:rRNA from 1 species
UACGUAGGGUGCAAGCGUUGUCCGGAAUUAUUGGGCGUAAAGAGCUCGUAGGCGGUUUGUCGCGUCUGCUGUGAAAACUCAGGGCUUAACCCUGAGCCUGCAGUGGGUACGGGCAGACUAGAGGUAUGCAGGGGAGAACGGAAUUCCUGGUGUAGCGGUGAAAUGCGCAGAUAUCAGGAGGAACACCGGUGGCGAAGGCGGUUCUCUGGACCGAGACUUGACGCUGAGGCGCGAAAGCGUGGGGAGCAAACAGG